GAUGAACGCUGGCGGCGUGCCUAAUACAUGCAAGUCGAGCGAACAGACGAGGAGCUUGCUCCUCUGACGUUAGCGGCGGACGGGUGAGUAACACGUGGAUAACCUACCUAUAAGACUGGGAUAACUUCGGGAAACCGGAGCUAAUACCGGAUAAUAUAUUGAACCGCAUGGUUCAAUAGUGAAAGACGGUUUUGCUGUCACUUAUAGAUGGAUCCGCGCCGCAUUAGCUAGUUGGUAAGGUAACGGCUUACCAAGGCAACGAUGCGUAGCCGACCUGAGAGCGACGAUGCGCACACUGGAAGUGAGGAACAGUCCACACACCUACGCGAAGCAGCAGUCCGGAAUCCUACGCAAGGGGGCAAAGGGGAAUCGAGCAAAGCCGGGGAAGUGAUGACGCCGCUCGGAUGGGUGAAUGCUGUUAGUAGUAAGAAAGUAAUGUUCUUGAACCGGUGAAGAUCAUGACGGUACCCGAAGAAAAAGCCCCGGCUAACUACGUG
rnacentral:rRNA from 1 species